rnacentral:rRNA from 1 species
AGUCGAGCGGUAACAGGAGAAGCUUGCUUCCCGCUGACGAGCGGGGGACGGGUGAGUAAUGUGUGGGGAUCUGCCCGAUAGAGGGGGAUAACUACUGGGAACGGGAGCUAAUACCGCAUAAUCUCUCAGGAGCAAAGCAGGGGAACUUCGGUCCUUGCGCUAUCGGAUGAACCCAUAUGGGAUUAGCUAGUAGGUGAGGUAAUGGGUCACCUAGGCGACGAUCCCUAUCUGGGCUGAGAGGAUGAUCACCCACACUGGGACUGAGACACGGCCCACACUCCUACGGGAGGCAGCAGUGGGGAAUAUUGCACAAUGGGCGCAAGCCUGAUGCAGCCAUGCCGCGUGUAUGAAGAAGGCCCUAGGGUUGUAAAGUACUUUCAGUCGGGAGGAAGGCGUUGAUGCUAAUAUCAUCAACGAUUGACGGUACCGACAGAAGAAGCACCGGCUAACUCCGUGCCAGCAGCCGCGGUAAUACGGAGGGUGCAAGCGUUAAUCGGAAUUACUGGGCGUAAAGCGCACGCAGGCGGUUGAUUAAGUUAGAUGUGAAAUCCCCGGGCUUAACCUGUGAAUGGCAUCUAAGACUGUGCAGCUAUAGUCUUGUAGAGAGGGGGUAGAAUUCCAUGUGUAGCGGGGAAAUGCGUAGAGAUGUGGAGGAAUACCGGUGGCGAAAGCGGCCCCCUGUGACACAGACUGACGCUCCCGUGCGAAAGCGUGUGGAGCAAACAGGAUUAGAUACCCUGUGAGUCCACGCUGUAAACGAUGUCGAUAUGAAGGUUGUGCGCUAUAGGAGUGUCUUUCGGAGCUAACGCGUUAAAUCGACCGCCUGUGGAGUACGGGCGCGAGGGUUAAAACUCACAUGAAUU